rnacentral:rRNA from 1 species
CAAGCGUUGCUCGGAAUCACUGGGCGUAAAGCGCACGUAGGCGGCUUUCUAAGUCAGGGGUGAAAUCCUGGAGCUCAACUCCAGAACUGCCUUUGAUACUGGAGAGCUUGAGUCCGGGAGAGGUGAGUGGAACUCCGAGUGUAGAGGUGAAAUUCGUAGAUAUUCGGAAGAACACCAGUGGCGAAGGCGGCUCACUGGCCCGGUACUGACGCUGAGGUACGAAAGCGUGGGGAGCAAACAGG